AGCUUUGCACAGUGCAGUAUGGUAGCCAAUGAGGUUUAUGCGAGGCGUGAUUAUUGCUAAUAGAAAACUUUUCCUCCUACACUGCCGUGACAACUUGCAAUAUAGUCAGCACUGGCAAUUUUUGAUGUCUCUAUGAAGAC